rnacentral:rRNA from 1 species
CCUACGGGAGGCAGCAGUGGGGGAUAUUGCACAAUGGGGGGAACCCUGAUGCAGCGACGCCGCGUGGGUGAAGAAGCGCCUCGGCGCGUAAAGCCCUGUCAGCAGGGAAGAAAAUGACGGUACCUGAAGAAGAAGCCCCGGCUAACUACGUGCCAGCAGCCGCGGUAAUACGUAGGGGGCAAGCGUUAUCCGGAUUUACUGGGGGUAAGGGGGGCGCAGACGGGGAUGCAAGCCAGGAGUGAAAGCCCGGGGCCCAACCCCGGGACUGCUCUUGAAACUGCGUGGCUGGAGUGCAGGAGGGGCAGGCGGAAUGCCUGGUGUAGCGGUGAAAUGCGUAGAUAUCAGGAAGAACACCGGUGGCGAAGGCGGCCUGCUGGACUGCAACUGACGUUGAGGCCCGAAAGCGUGGGGAGCAAACAGGAUUAGAUACCCCUGUAGUC